UACGGAGGGUGCAAGCGUUAUCCGGAUUCACUGGGUUUAAAGGGCGCGUAGGUGGGUUGGUAAGUCCGUGGUGAAAUCUCCGUGCUUAACAUGGAAACUGCCAUUGAUACUACUGAUCUUGAAUUUUCUGGAGGUAAGCGGAAUAUGUCAUGUAGCGGUGAAAUGCUUAGAUAUGACAUAGAACACCAAUUGCGAAGGCAGCUUGCUACAGGGAUAUUGACACUGAGGCACGAAAGCGUGGGGAGCAAACAGG
rnacentral:rRNA from 1 species